rnacentral:rRNA from 1 species
AACGAACGCUGGCGGCAGGCCUAACACAUGCAAGUCGAGCGAGGACUUCGGUCCUAGCGGCGGACGGGUGAGUAACGCGUGGGAACGUGCCCUUUGCUUCGGAAUAGCCCUGGUAAACUGGGAGUAAUACCGGAUGAGCCCUUUGGGGGAAAGAUUUAUCGGCGAAGGAUCGGCCCGCGUUGGAUUAGGUAGUUGGGGGGGUAAUGGCCUACCAAGCCGACGAUCCAUAGCUGGUUUGAGAGGAUGAUCAGCCACACUGGGACUGAGACACGGCCCAGACUCCUACGGGAGGCAGCAGUGGGGAAUCUUAGACAAUGGGGGAAACCCUGAUCUAGCCAUGCCGCGUGAGCGAUGAAGGCCUUAGGGUUGUAAAGCUCUUUCAGCUGGGAAGAUAAUGACGGUACCAGCAGAAGAAGCCCCGGCUAACUCCGUG